rnacentral:rRNA from 1 species
UACGUAUGGUGCAAGCGUUAUCCGGAUUUAUUGGGUUUAAAGGGUGCGUAGGCGGACGCUUAAGUCAGCGGUAAAAUUGCGGGGCUCAACCUCGUCGAGCCGUUGAAACUGGGUGCCUUGAGUGGGCGAGAAGUACGCGGAAUGCGUGGUGUAGCGGUGAAAUGCAUAGAUAUCACGCAGAACUCCGAUUGCGAAGGCAGCGUACCGGCGCCCAACUGACGCUGAAGCACGAAGGCGUGGGUAUCGAACAGG